UGGGGAAUAUUGCACAAUGGAGGGAACCCUGAUGCAGCGACGCCGCGUGAGUGAUGAAGGAAUUCGUUUCGUAAAACUCUGUUCUAUGGGAAGAAAAGGACUGUACCAUAGGAGAAAGCCCCGGCUAAAUACGUGCCAGCAGCCGCGGUAAUACGUAUGGAGCGAGCGUUGUCCGGAAUUAUUGGGCGUAAAGGGUGCGCAGGCGGCUUUACAAGUUGGAUGUGAAAUAUUGUGGCUCAACCACAAACGUGCAUCCAAAACUGCAAAGCUUGAGUUAAGGAGAGGUAAGUGGAAUUCCUGGUGUAGCGGUGAAAUGCGUAGAUAUCAGGAGGAAUACCGGUGGCGAAGGCGGCUUACUGGACUUAAACUGACGCUCAGGCACGAAAGCGUGGGGAGCAAACAGG
rnacentral:rRNA from 1 species